rnacentral:tRNA from 1 species
UGGCUCAGUGGUAGAGUGCUUGCCUCAAAUGCAUGAGACCCUGGGUUCAAUUCCUCAG